GAAAUGCGAUACGUAAUGUGAAUUGCAGAAUUCAGUGAAUCAUCGAAUCUUUGAACGCACAUUGCGCCCGCCAGCACUCUGGCGGGCAUGCCUGUUCGAGCGUCAUUUCAACUAUCAAGCCCUAGGCUUGUGUUGGAGCCCUGCGGCUGCCGCAGGCUCCUAAAAGCAGUGGCGGGCUCGCUAUUACACCGAGUGCAGUAGAUUUCUCUUCGCUCAGGGCGUGUGGCGGGUUCUAGCCGUAAAAUCCCCUACUUUUAAGGUUGACCUCGGAUCAGGUAGGAAUACCCGCUGAACUUAA
rnacentral:misc_RNA from 1 species